CAUGAAAAUAUUCCAGAGAUCAGAAGAGAUGAACUAUGCAACAGCAGCUGGUUUCUGCUGGCUGGAAGGAAGGGCAUUGGGACUAGAAGAUGACGAAGUUCAGUCAGACCCCCGGUUGCUGUUGCUGGGAUACAAUCAGCAGAUACGUCUGCUUCAGAAAAAUGAGAUGCCAACUUACAGACAUUGCCAAGAAACACAAAGGAUACAAAUUAUAAGGUCUUUUUUAUUUCACCUAUGGAUGUCACAACAGCCAUGUCCCCUGAGGAC